AUUGAACGCUGGCGGCAGGCUUAACACAUGCAAGUCGAACGCAUCCUUCGGGGUGAGUGGCAGACGGGUGAGUAACACGUGGGAACGUACCUCUUUGUUCGGAAUAGCUUUUGGAAACGAAAGGUAAUACCGGAUACGCCCUUUUGGGGAAAGAUUUAUCGCAGAGAGAUCGGCCCGCGUCUGAUUAGCUAGUUGGUGAGGUAAUGGCUCACCAAGGCGACGAUCGGUAGCUGGUCUGAGAGGAUGAUCAGCCACACGGGGACUGAGACACGGCCCAGACUCCUACGGGAGGCAGCAGUGGGGAAUAUUGGACAAUGGGCGCAAGCCUGAUCCAGCCAUGCCGCGUGAGUGAUGAAGGCCUUAGGGUUGUAAAGCUCUUUUGUCCGGGAAGAUAAUGACUGUACCGGAAGAAUAAGCCCCGGCUAACUUCGUGCCAGCCGCCGCCGUAA
rnacentral:rRNA from 1 species